GCGGCUACUGCUAUCAGGUUUCGACUAAGCCAUGCGAGUCAAGGGGUCGUAAGACACCGGCGUACUGCUCAGUAACACGCGGACAAUCUACCCCCAGGUGGAGGAUAACCUCGGGAAACUGAGGCUAAUACCCCAUAGUUGUCAUGUGCUGGAAUGCUUUGACGAUGAAAGAAUUUCGCCUGAGGAUGAGUCUGCGGCCUAUCAGGUAGUAUGUGGUGUAAAGGACCACAUAGCCUAAGACGGGUACGGGCCUUGAAAGAGGGAGCCCGGAGAUGGACUCUGAGACACUAGUCCAGGCCCUACGGGGCGCAGCAGGCGCGAAAACUGUGCAAUGCGCGCAAGCGCGACACGGGAAGCCUGAGUGCCUUAACUAUGUUAAGGCUUUUCUUGAUCCUAAAAAGCUCAAGGAAUAAGAGCUGGGUAAGACGGGUGCCAGCCGCCGCGGUAACACCCGCGGCUCGAGUGGUAGUCACUUUUAUUGAGCCUAAAGCGUUUGUAGCCGGAUUUGUAAAUCUCUAGGAAAAUACUUCUGCUUAACUGAAGAAAUUUUGGAGAGACUGCAAAUCUAGGGACCGGGUGAGGUUGAAUGUACUUCUGGGGUAGGGGUAAAAUCCUGUAAUCCUGGAAGGACGACCGGUGGCGAAGGCGUUCAACUAGAACGGAUCCGACGGUGAGGAACGAAGGCUAGGGGAGCAAACCGGAUUAGAUACCCGGGUAGUCCUAGCUGUAAACACUGCCCACUUGGUGUUGCAUCUCCGGUAAGGGGGUGCAGUGCCGUAGCGAAGGUGUUAAGUGGGCCACUUGGGGAGUAUGGUCGCAAGGCUGAAACUUAA
rnacentral:rRNA from 1 species